ACCCCGAUCCCCCGAUCCAGUCCCACUCUUCACGACGAAAGCCCACGUACGAAAAAAGCCCGCAUAGGAAAAAAAAAACCACCCCCAUGCCUCUCGCCUGGAGCAGUCGAACCGCCUCCUCGCGCCGCCGCCGCAACGGGCCGCGAGCCGUCCGCAGGCGUGCCGCUUCUAGGAUGGUGGCGGAUCCAAAUGGACGACGGCGGCAGCGGGAUCCAACUUCACCUCGCACGCAUCCCCGACCCCCAGCCGGCGGCCGGAUCCGUUCACAGCCACCGUGCGGGUCGCGGCCACCAGGAUCUUCGUCUAGCCACACGAGGCUUCCCUCGCCCGUGGCGCUAGGUCACGGCCUCGCCACCGCUGGCUCGCCAUCCGGGCGCCCGUCCGUCGCUGACUCGGCAUCUCCAACUUUCCCUGCCCAAAAGGCCUCCCCCGACUCCCAGUAUGGGCACAGGCGGCAGCGGGCAGCCCCCAAUCUGUAGGGCUUUUGUCCCAACUACACCCCAAAUUUGUGUUGUUUGAUGUUAUUUCUCUUGCCUCUGUCGCCGUCUCACGAAGCCUCAGCAGCUGCCAUCGCCGUGUGAUUCGAUCCGCAGAUUUUCGAAAGGUGCAUCAAAAUAAUUAUAUACAUUUAUGUGUGCAUUGCUAUGUAGAAGAUAUCCUUAUUUAAAUUACCCAGUUGCUUGAGUAUACAAUUUCUACCAGCUUCAUUUGGAAAGGGUAAUAUCUUCCAUACAAUUGGCAAAUGGAUUUUAAUAUGUAUCUUGCAUAUUUAUGUGAUUUCAAUUAACUCUUGCAUGUCAGGUCAAUCUGAGAAAUUGAACAUUAAACCCGUGGUUGGAUUCUUCUGUUUCUUUGGUACAUGCAAGGCAAUAAAUAUAGGUGAAAAUAAGUAAGAGGGGCAAUAAGCAUCAAAACAUACAUCAUAUUGGACAAAAUGGGAAGCAACAUAUUUAUAGCUAAAUCUGGAUGCUGUGUCAUUUCAUUCUCGUGCACGGCUGAAACUUCUGUGAAUUGAAAGCUCACAUAGCCUAAAUAUCACUUUUAGCUAUGGACAAAGAUCUCACUAUAGUUAGAUUCAGUCGAAGAACUCUGGAUACUUAGGUCAGCACUUCCAGUUAAAAUAUCCUUAGGUUCAUCUUUCAUGUGAUUCUGGUCUGUAAUUUUCCCUGUCAUGCUGAUUUAGUCUAUAAUCAUGUGCGAUUUUGAGUUGCUUGUUUUCCCUUUGGUACUAUAAGGGCAUCUUUCAUGCUUUGUCUACAAUUUGUAGAGAUGAGGGUGGCAAAUUAUUGUAUAGGUCUUGGCCCACGUUAUUGGUAAGCUUUGUUUAAAGUUGGGUUGCCAUGUUGAAAACUGCUUCCAGCCUUUUCAUUUUCAUGUCACUCUUUGUAUUACUGUCGUAACUUAGGAUCUUGAGGUAACUCAUGAGUUGUAGGACAUGACGAGCUGCACCAUGAUGGUCAAUUUGCUGUAUGAAAUCACCGAAGGGAUGACUUCAGAUGAGUUAAUAACUUCAAAGGUCGUAACAAUGUUUGUAUAUGAAGGAAAUGUCACAUGCCUCAUGAUGACUUUAUUUAAUUUGUUUUUAUGCUUAUUAUUAUAUUUGGCUAUGGUGAGAUAUACGCUGUCAAAAAUAGCAUAUGAGUUUAGCCUCAGUGCUUGUAUUCUUAUGCUGUGUAUUUGUGUCUUUUAGGAUUUUACUGAUGUCUUGAUAGUUUGAUCAAUUUAUCUUGUGCAUUAUGUGUGGUA